UACGGGGGGAGCAAGCGUUGUUCGGAUUUACUGGGCGUAAAGGGCGCGUAGGCGGCGCAACAAGUCACUUGUGAAAUCUCCGGGCUUAACCCGGAGCGGUCAAGUGAUACUGUCGUGCUAGAGUGCGGAAGGGGCUACUGGAAUUCUCGGUGUAGCGGUGAAAUGCGCAGAUAUCAGGAGGAACACCGGUGGCGAAGGCGCUGCUCUGGGCCGGUACUGACGCUGAGGAGCGAAAGCGUGGGUAGCAAACAGG
rnacentral:rRNA from 1 species